CGCUUGCAAUUUGAAUCAUGGCAGCAGGUACAACCUACCAUCAUGGUGGGCAUGCUAUUGAACGCCGGCCGCAGCAAUGGCCGCGGCGGCAGGAGGACUAGCAUCCAGUCACCACCGCAGGUCCUCUCCUCUGUUCCCUUACUCGUCUACGAGUACGAGGAUCCCGCCGUUGUUCAUCCAGCAGGCUCUACUCCUACCGCUGCCGCAAAGAUGCUCAUGUACAGCCUGCCUGAGCGGAGCAUCGUCUACACGCACGACAGCAGGCCUCAGGCCAUGGAGGGCAACUUCUUCAGCACGCCUCAAGGCUGGCUGGUCAUC
rnacentral:misc_RNA from 1 species